rnacentral:lncRNA from 1 species
AUGGAGCCUGUGCCUGCUGCUGGUGGGACUCCGUGCGGACGUGUGUUGGGAGGAGCUGUGCAUGACACCCAAACAUGGCACCAAGGCCUUCCGUGUCCGCACCGAGGUAAGCAAUGACUUGUUUCACUGCCAACCCGCUACAAGUGUACAAGGCCUUCCGCAUUCAAGCUGAGAGGGCAAGAAAAUUCAAUUGUUAACAGGAACAUAAAAGUGGCUCAUCUUCUUUGAUAGAAUCAUAGAAGUACACAAUGAUUGGCUGAAGCGUUGGACUGCUAAAGUUCUAGGAAAGAUAGAAAUCCACCUUUUUGCGUAUUUAUUUUGCUGUUGUUGGAGAUGAGCUUACGAGUAGAAAGAUUAAAGAUCUGGUAACUGUCCUUAAUGCUUCAGCUGGACGUUUUUUAUCUCCGCUUUUGGGGCUGCCUUUAUGUCAGUCAUGGAGGGAGCUGGAGCAAAUUUGUGAUUUCUUGUGGCCACUUUUCUCUGAAAAGUGCAGGUUGCCUGGUGAUCUAAAAUUGUGGAUCGGAAAUGUUCUUCACCAAUGCCCAUCCCAGUUGCUGACAAUUUUGUUUGCACGCUCAGGUAAGUGUUUUUUUGUGGUGAUUUACUAAACAUGCUUUGGGUCAUGACCCCCUUUGACGUAGACGUAUGUCUCCUCUACACAUUAUUGUCAGGUUGCGAAAUAGCAAGUAAGGAACUACAGAAAGUGGAUUGCUAAGUUUGCCAAGCAUAUUGAUCAAUGUAUCUAUGUCUAAAUUUAUUAUUUCGUGGCAGCGCAAGGAAAUUUCUCCUUUGUGUCCUCUGAAAUCUUGCGUAAAUUUGUUGUGACUCAUCAUUGAAAGCAGUUAGAGAUGAUCUAGAAAUACUAAAAUAAAUUAAACCAAAGGUGUGCCCUGAAACUUGUGCAUUAUUUUUUUAAUCUUUUUGAUUGAUUUCUUUGGGAAGUUAGUCAAACUUUGUGAGUGUGGAAGGAAGGGGGCAACUGUUUCGGACACUUAUUAAACGUCUUAGAGCUCAUUUCAUCAUCUUUGUUUUUCUAACACUUAAUAAUGAGCUCACAGAUGAUAGAAGCAGAAAAAAAAUACUUGGCCAAAUAUCAUUUAACCAGAUAUUGUACAUUGUAGAAUCAGUAGUCUAUCUCACUUCAUUCUUGUUAGAACCUGCAUAAGAUUUUGUAUGUGAUGCUUUUGUUUAUUCAAUCAAGUGAAAUAAGGGCUACAACAAGAGAUCACCAUUAGGUUAUCAUGAACCAGCAAAAUGGGUAUAAGAAGCUAUAUUCAAGAAAAGAUAUUUUGCUCAUUCUUUAUCCAGAGCAAAUAUAAAGUCGCAUACGAACAUCCGAAACUAAGAAGUCAACAAAUAGAUCAGUAUAUUCCAUGUUAAGUGUACAACUCACAAAUAGACAUUUCCAGUGAGAAAAUAUUAACUAUUUCUAAAAUGUCGUGACAAGUUGUUGUUUUUUUGUAGAAUUUUAUGCUCUUGCUGUUAUCUUAGCCUCACAGGAUUGUAAAUUUUGAUGGAAUAUAGUAAGAUUUUCUUAUAAUCACGAGUUCUUUUAUAAUUGGAUGAGAAGAUACCAUCUAGCGCAUCAAUUAAGAAUUACCCAUAUUAAUACCUCGAACAGGGAUGCAUGUAUUUGAUCUUUCCUGCUGAGAUUCAGUGUUUCCUAUCGGAGGUCUGAAUUUGCAUAUGUGGGGCCUCUCAGUUAGAUUGUAAGUAUACUAACCAUUCUGUAACUGAGGUUGUGCCAUAUAUCUAGAACUGUAGAAUAUCUUCCACAUAUGUUCAUUCAGGGACCUUAGAAAUUCACUAUUGAGGGUUCAUUGCCAAGAAGGCAACUCAUCUCUUCGGCAUUGAAUUUAUUUGGAGUGUUGCAAUUAUCGCAAUGCUCAGUGACAACUACCAGGGUCAUGAAGAAGGUAAGUCAUCUCCCAUGCAUCAAAUUUAAUUGGAAUUGUGCAGCUUCAGAUUUGCAGUAAUUAUGAUUAAGCACUCUAUCUAUAUAGUUCAAAACUUAGCUAUGUAUAUCGCAAGGGUAACCAAUUAAGUUGGUAAACUUUCAUGUAUUUUGCAGUCCUAGCUCAACAAUGGCUCCAUGAGCUCUAACAGGUGUGGUGGGCUGCCAACGACCUACACAUAGUAUUGCUUAAAUCGGCUGCAAUCACUAGAUUCUCGUCACUAACUAUGUGAACUUGUAGAAAGUGGUCACGUUGGGAAAGGAGUAAACGGAAUGCUACUAAAAUAGUGGGCCUUUGGGCAACACCUAAAGCAUUGCAAUAAGCUUCUGAUAAGAAUUUCAUAUAAGAAUAGGUGCUUGUAAAUAUGUUGAAUUGUUCAUGGUGGAGUUGUUGUACAGUCUCCCAACAGCCAUGAUUUACAAGGCUCAAGGGACUAUAUAAAGGCCAAACACUUGGAAUUCAAACAAGCUAGGUUCAAAAUGGUAACUUUGAGUUAUUAUUUAUGUUGUUUGGCUGGCUUAUUUGAUGCCGAAGUUGUAUGAGGAUACGUGUGUUUUAAAAUUUUGCUAUUGGAUUUCACUUUUUUCUUUAUCUCUGUCAAUUCUCCUUUUGAGAGCAUAAUUACUAUAAUUUGUCUAUGGACCAAAGGGUUCGAUCAGGAUGUGUCAGAUUGGUUUUGGGAAGGCAAGCAUACAAGUCGCUCG